CUGAAAAUUGCAAACUUCGCAAGGCUAGGCUAUAUCCGCAUUUUACUCCAUUUUCCAACGAAACUUUGGAAUAUUACUAAUUUUGUGAUGCUCUUUCAAGCUGUGAUCAAAUUUUUGUCUAGACUUGUUGAGUUCAAAAUUUUGAUUAUAAAAGUGGGGAAAUGGUUCUUUUAACGUGCUUUUCUUUAAUAUCAAAUACAGUUAGGAAUUUCAGACUUUUAUAGCUUAAUUUUUCUGUAGCCCCAAACUAAAAUUUCAAAUUCCAUAUCUGUGUUUGAAAAGCACACUGUAGUAGCAAUAGUAUAUCAAGAAAUAAAUUAUUUAUAUUCUGUGUCCUUUGUUGAAACACUUAAUGUUUCACGAACAUUGUCCGACCCAUUCGUGAAAUUGUCCGACGUAGAAAGGAAACAACUGGACAUUCUGUCCGACCUAAGUGAAACCAUAGCCUAUCGAAGGGAAGAUGGCUGUGAAACUCAUUAGAAUAACAGUGUGACAGCAUGCUCAAAAUUUUGUGCGUAUCGGACGUAUGCUUUAAACGAUAAGCAUACUCUAGGCACACGCUGAAUACGCUAGAGGUACGUCAGAUGUACGGU